GUGAGGAAUAUUGGUCAAUGGGCGGAAGCCUGAACCAGCCAUGCCGCGUGCAGGAAGACGGCCCUACGGGUUGUAAACUGCUUUUCCGGGGGAAGAAUAAUCCCGACGUGUCGGGAGACGACGGUACCCCGGGAAUAAGGAUCGGCUAACUCCGUGCCAGCAGCCGCGGUAAUACGGAGGAUCCGAGCGUUAUCCGGAUUUACUGGGUUUAAAGGGUGCGUAGGCGGGCGCUUAAGUCAGCGGUGAAAUGCGGGGGCUCAACCUUCGAACGGCCGUUGAUACUGGGCGCCUUGGAUUCGGUCGAGGCGGGCGGAAUGCGACAUGUAGCGGUGAAAUGCUUAGAUAUGUCGCAGAACGCCGAUUGCGAAGGCAGCUCGCCGGGCCGAUAUUGACGCUGAGGCACGAAAGCGUGGGGAUCGAACAGGAUUAGAAACCCCAGUAGUCC
rnacentral:rRNA from 1 species